GACGAACGCUGGCGGCGUGCUUAGCACAUGCAAGUCGAACGGAAAGGCCCUGCUUUUGUGGGGUGCUCGAGUGGCGAACGGGUGAGUAACACGUGAGUAACCUGCCCUUGACUUUGGGAUAACUUCAGGAAACUGGGGCUAAUACCGGAUAGGAGCUCCUGCUGCAUGGUGGGGGUUGGAAAGUUUCGGCGGUUGGGGAUGGACUCGCGGCUUAUCAGCUUGUUGGUGGGGUAGUGGCUUACCAAGGCUUUGACGGGUAGCCGGCCUGAGAGGGUGACCGGCCACAUUGGGACUGAGAUACGGCCCAGACUCCUACGGGAGGCAGCAGCGGGGUAUAUUGCACAAUGGGCGGAAGCCUGAUGCAGCAACGCCGCGUGCGGGAUGACGGCCUUCGGGUUGUAAACCGCUUUCGCCUGUGACGAAGCGUGAGUGACGGUAAUGGGUAAAGAAGCACCGGCUAACUACGUG
rnacentral:rRNA from 1 species